AAAGCAAGUCUUUUAAGAUCUUUUCCUGAUAAUGCUCAUGAUAAUUGAAGACCACGACCAUUCUGAAGUGGGAUCUGGAUGCCCUAUGUCCAAGAUGAUGGAACAGCUUCCAUGGCAGCUCCUGAUCAGCUGGUGCUCAUCCCUACAAUUAAUAACAUUGUCAACCCUGCUGAUAAUGUUAUUAAUCAGACGGUGGCAGUGCAUAAACAUUUCAGCUCAGGGUACCAUUUGUUCUGUGUUUAUGAAGCACUGGAGACAUAACAGCGUUCAUGCUCCUGAAGUUGAAUGGCAGCUCUGGGUAUCUCUUGGACCUGAGCUACCAGAGCAGGAAAGAUGCCCCUAGGAGGUAUUCCUGAGAAAGUGGGCUCCGUUAUGUUCAGGACCAGAAUGAAAGUGAAACUCAUCAUUAGUCUGGUUGAUUCAGUGUCUGAAUACACUUCGUACCAUGAGGAUCCUCUUCCCUGAGCCAAAGUCUGUCAGAGUCAAUUUCAGCAGUUGAUGAGGCCCUUCAGUGCCUAGAUUGCAGGAGCAUGAUAAAAAUAUCUGAAGAUAAAUGUUAUUGUUCGUGGUCCCUGUGUUCCUGCUGCAAAUUAUUCACUGUACAUUGAGAAAAAGUCUGUAUUAUACUGGACAGGUCAGUGUUUGCCUGAAAUCCCAUCAUGGCUACUUCUGCAUUUGAUGAGUAUUACCAGCACAGACAGAGGCACCAUGGAGGAAAUCCCAGCCGUGCAGAACAAAUAUGAAAUGGUGGAUGGUGAGAAGAAAGGAGGUUUCCAUCCUUCUAACUCUACAGGGCAUCAUGUUGAUGGGAAUGAGAGGCCAGACCCAGCUGAUGUCUGUGGAAUGCCUUGCUUGGCUGGUGUGGGGCUAUGCUGGAAGGGCCAUGUCACAUCCUGACAGUCUGCUAUGAAAGGGGCCCUGGUCUUUAGAAGGAUACUAUACACAUGCAGAAGAUCACUCAAAGAAGAUGUAUAAUUCUUAAUCAAAAGAAAGAAGGGAUCAAUUUUGCACAAUAAGGAAAAGUCCCUGGGCUGAGAUGAAGCUGUCCCAUUUUAAAAGGAUCAGAGGCAAUGUAGCUUGUGCCCAAAAUUGAGAGGAGCAGACUCUCCUUGGCAAGAAGUCAAUGUUGAGAUCUCUGUGCAUACUUCUUCAGCAUGAUGGACAGAUAACAGG